rnacentral:lncRNA from 1 species
CUGCUAAUUAAAGCUAUUCAUCAGAUUGGUGUUUUAUAUACUUGGCUCUGUCUCGUGGUAGCGCUGCGGAGGGAAAGACUAGGAGCUGAUCUGGGCUAGAUCAGGGCUGAAAAGUUAUCUAGGUUUUGGUCAAGCUCAGGCCUCUGAUAAUUUUGGGUAUGGCCAGAUUAUAUAUAUAUAUAUGAGGUUUCAACCCAGCGUCGAAUUCGCUGGCC